UGAGCAAGGCGUUCCUGCAGUCCCGACCAGC
rnacentral:piRNA from 1 species